rnacentral:rRNA from 1 species
AGAAGGGAGCUUGCUCCCGGAUGUUAGCGGCGGACGGGUGAGUAACACGUGGGUAACCUGCCUGUAAGACUGGGAUAACUCCGGGAAACCGGAGCUAAUACCGGAUAGUUCCUUGAACCGCAUGGUUCAAGGAUGAAAGACGGUUUCGGCUGUCACUUACAGAUGGACCCGCGGCGCAUUAGCUAGUUGGUGAGGUAACGGCUCACCAAGGCGACGAUGCGUAGCCGACCUGAGAGGGUGAUCGGCCACACUGGGACUGAGACACGGCCCAGACUCCUACGGGAGGCAGCAGUAGGGAAUCUUCCGCAAUGGACGAAAGUCUGACGGAGCAACGCCGCGUGAGUGAUGAAGGUUUUCGGAUCGUAAAGCUCUGUUGUUAGGGAAGAACAAGUGCAAGAGUAACUGCUUGCACCUUGACGGUACCUAACCAGAAAGCCACGGCUAACUACGUGCCAGCAGCCGCGGUAAUACGUAGGUGGCAAGCGUUGUCCGGAAUUAUUGGGCGUAAAGGGCUCGCAGGCGGUUUCUUAAGUCUGAUGUGAAAGCCCCCGGCUCAACCGGGGAGGGUCAUUGGAAACUGGGAAACUUGAGUGCAGAAGA